rfam:Neurospora crassa OR74A unplaced genomic scaffold supercont12.8, whole genome shotgun sequence.
AACUUUUAAUAAUAGAUCUUUUGGUUCUAGUAUUAAUAAAGAAUAUAGCGAAAUACAAUAAGUAAUAUAAAUUGUAGAAUUUAGUAAAUUAUUGAAUUUUUAAACGUAUAUUAUAUUUAUUAAUAUUCUAGCGAAUAUAUUUAUUCGAAUGUUA